rnacentral:rRNA from 1 species
CCCGGGUCUUGUACACACCGCCCGUCACACCAUGGGAGCGGGAUGUACCAGAAGUAGGUAGGCGUAACCGCAAGGGGGCCGCUUACCACGGUGCGUUUCGUGACUGGGGUG